AAUAAAUUUCAUUUUAAUAUAAUAUGUAUUAAAUUAAACUAUUCACACGUUAACGUUUGUCUUCGAUGUCAUCUAAAAUUAAGGAUGCAGUAACAUCUUGUUAGGGCCCUAACGGAAGUGUAGGUACAGUUUAUUCAAUUAUAUUGGAGUCGCUUUUCGUCUUUGCCUGUUGGGUUGUACGCCGAGGUCCAGGUAUUCAUGCAAGUCAAUUAUGCAAUUUUUUCUAUAUUUUCGCCUUAAAGUUAUAUGAAUAAAACUUGUUUUUCUUAGUUAAUAUUUAAAAAUAGUUUUUCUUUAUUAUACCAAAGGACAAAUAAUUCGUCUCAUAUGCCUUGACACACACAUCUCGAUAAUUUUCGCGAUGGUGCAGCAACCAUUUCAAAACCCUAUUCGGGUUUUCGACGCUCAUUAUAGCGACGAAAUUACAAGAUAUAUCUAUGGAUAUAGGUUCAUAAUUGCCCAUUACAGACGGUGGAUCAACUUUUAUAAAGUAAGAAAUAAAUUUUAUCUCCGUCGUAAACUCCUGAUACUUCCUUAAACUACUUGUCUAUGACCUUGUACUACAUGAAUUAAGUAAAGGAUUUAGCACCCUAUAAACAUAUAACAUAUUUUCAAGCUGGGUAAACUUGUGAAUUGCUGCAAAGCUGGUUGGCUAGUACGUAAUUAAACCCUGGUUUUCGGAUCUGACUAUUCAUUGCUUGCUGAAGCUUUAUCAAGCCUAGGCUAAAUGUUGUUUCAGACUUCGCAUUAUCAAAAAAAUAUAUGACAAUCCAAUGUAAUAGUUCGAGAGAUCUACGCAAAUGAGCAGUCAGAGAAAAUAAAUUGUUUUGUCAUCCAAAAUCGUUUUUAUUUUUCAAUUUCUUUAAAGUACUUUGAUCCCAAAAAGAUAUAAAGUUUUUACAUAGUGUACAAUAUCGUUGCAUACUAGUUUAAACGAAAUGUCAAGUACAGGGCUGUUCUGACAAUUUGGAGGUAAGUAAAACUUAAUAUUUCAUAGCCCGACCCAGCUCGAUCUCAGAAUCUCAAGAUUCCAAGAGCACAAUGGUCCAACAAGGCUGUUCAGCGCAUUUUAAUGGUAUUAAACAAAGUAUGUUCGAAGAGCUAAUAACCAGAGCGGAAAUGGUGCGAGUGCCGUAGUAACCGCGGCGGGCGGCGCCUGUCAGUGACCGCUGCGGCCUUGUGCAGUCAAAUGCAGUGCGCUCCACAACUAUCUCUAUGCUCGUACAGUGUUGCCAGGUGUCCGAAUAAGGCUGGACAUAGUUAGGCUUUUCUAUUCCAUGUCUGGCCGAAAUAAACGGUGUCCGGCUUUUGUUAGGCUUUAAAUUUAACGAGCGAACGACUAGUGUGUCUGGAAACACACGGUAAUAAUUAUGAAUACUUGAUUUUACAGAGUAAAAAAAUAUUUGUAGUAAAAUCCUCAAUAAUGUCGGCUGUCCGGCCUUUUUACCCAAAUGAACAUAUGGUAAAAAUCAUGAAUACCUACUUGAUUUUACAUGAACAAAAAAUCUUCGUAAAUAUCUAUUAAUACUGACGUACACCUCAAUGGCCUUAUUACCCAAAUGUCUGGCCAAACUGACUGGACUGUCCGGCUUUUAAUUUCGGCGAUCUGGGAACCCUACUCGUACCACUUUAUUCUGAGGCUCGUACGUAUCUCCGUAUAAGUUUUUAGUAGAUUCGUGAAACUGAUUAUUUCUAGUAGACGGCCUAGGCACAGGCACACUGGCAAGUUUUUUUGAAGAAGGAUGGCAUAUUUCGCAUUGAGAUAUUUUGUUCUAAGUUUAGUUUGUCCACACUGUUUUAGAUUAUGAUAUAAUUAGCUAUACUAAAUAUCAAUUCAUCUUCAAUAUGAAGUCUUAUGUAUGAAAUUUAUAUUUUCUUUUAUGUUUUGUUUUAUUUUUUACAAGUUAACCCUUGACUACAAUCUCACCUGAUGGUAAGUGAUGAUGCAAUUUAAGAUGGAAGUGGGCUAACUUGUUAGAAGUAGAAUGAAAAUCCACACCCCUUUCGGUUUCUACACGACAUCGUACCAGAAAGCUAAAUCGCUUGGCGGUACGCCUUUGCCGGUAGAGUUGUAACUAGCCACGGCCGAAGCCUCCCACCAGCAUAAUCUGGACAAAUUAAGAAAACCUCAAUCUGCCCAGCCAGGGAUCGAACCCAGGACCUCCGUCUUUUAAAUCCAACGCGCAUACUGCGCCACGGAGGUUGUCAAAAAAUAAUCUUGAUAAUUAAAAUACAAUACUCAUCAUAGACAUAAUUAUAAAUUACUGAAUGCGUAACAAGAUCCUAAAUGUCAAAUUGAUAGCAAAAACUCUUCAUUGGAAUUCCGAGGCAAAAACGUGGGCGCCUCACUAUCAGUACAAUCAGCAACAUAUGUUUUAAUAAAAAGAAUCGUGAACGACAAAUCUGUCGAAUAUCGUAUAGAGGAAAGAUCACAGUAUGUAUUUAUAUAUCUAUAUUAAUAUUAUAAAGCUGAAGAGUUUGUUUGUUUGAUUGAACGCGCUAAUCUCAGGAACUACUGGUCUGAUUUCAAAAAUUCUUUCAGUGUUAGAUAGCCCAUUUAUCGAGGAAGCCUAUAGGCUAUAUAUUAUCCCCAUAUUCCUACGGUAACGGGAACCACGCGGGUAAAACCGCGCGGCGUCAGCUAGUGUAACGAAUAAACUCAAAACUACUGGACCGAUUAGAAAAUUUCUUUAACCAAUUUAACACUACAUUAGCAAGGAGUGGCAUAGGCUAUAUUUUAUCCCCGUUUUCCCACGAUAAUGGGAAGUACGCGGGUGUAACCGCGAGGUACUGUUAUCACAUCACAUCACACUAAUAUUAUAAAUGCGAACGUUUGUGUGUGUGUAACCAGGUGUAAGUCCAUAUGUUUGUUCCUCCUUUGCGCUUUUUUUUUUAUUCUUUACAUGUUAGCCCUUGACUACAACCUCACCUGAUGGUAAGUGAUGAUGCAGUCUAAGAUGGAAGGGGGCUAACUUGUUAGGAGGAGGAUGAAAAUCCACACCCCUUUCGGUUUCUACACAGCAUCGUACCGGAACGCUAAAUCGCUUGGCGGUACGUCUUUGCCGGUAGGGUGGUAACUAGCCACAGCCGAAGCCUCCCACCAGCCAGACCUGGACAAAUUAAGAAAAUCUUAAUCUGCCCAGCCGGGGAUCGAACCCAGGACCUCCGUCUUGUAAAUCCACCGCGCAUACCACUGCGCCACGGAGGCCGUCAAAAGGCGCUGCGGCUACUGAAGCGAUUUGGCUGAAAUUUGGAACGGAAAUAGAUUUUACUCAGAAUUAACACAUAAGCUACUUUUCAUUUUGGGAAAGUCUAUGGUUCCCGCGGGAUUUGUGAAAAACUGAAUUCCACGCUGACGAAGUCGCAGGCAUCCGUUAGUAGUAACUAAUAUCAUAAAUGGGAAUGUGAGUUUGUUUGUUUGUUACGCUUUCACGCAUAACUAAACCGAUUAUUAAAAUUCUUUCACCUAAUAAGCUGCAUUAUCAGCAAGUAAAAUAGGCUGUUUUAUCUCCGUACUAGCUGAAGCCGCACGGUUUCACCCGCGUGGUUCCCGUUCCCGUAGGAAUACGGGGAUAAUAAAUAGCAUAUUGCCUUCCCCGAUAAAUGGGCUGUCUAACACUGAAAUAAUUUUUCAAAUCGGACCAGUAGACCCUGAGAUUAGCGCGCUCAAUCAAAUAAACAAACUCUUCAGUUUUAUAAUAUUAGUACAGAUACCCACAGGAACGGGAACUUCGCGGGUGAAACCGCGGGGCAUCUACUAUAAACAAAUGAUACCUACAAUAAUUUUGUACAAAACAUUUUAGAAUGAUUGAAGUUUUUAAUUGCAUGAUCAAUUAACUAGUUGGUUUAUUUAUACGUAACUGGUUAUUUUUGAUCAUUAAGGUAAUUAACGAAUUUUGGCCACUUUAAAAGUAAUCAGUGAAAAUAACUCAUUACUAUAGUAUCAAUGUUUAUUUUGUACGUGUUUCUGUAAAUAGCGGACAAUAAGCAAACUACAAUACAAUUUAUUUUUCAAAGUUAACGUAUAGGUAGGUACGUAUGUAGCUGUUAAUGUUUACUGUUCUAAAACUUUAUUUACCCUAAAAAUAUAUUCACCAAAUUAACAAAAUUCUAUCUAAAUAUCUAAUUUGGAAGUAGUUUUUGAAAAAAAAACCAUAUAAAACACUAGCGGGCGCCCACGACUUCGUCCGCGUGGAAUUUAUUUUUUCACAAAAUAAAUUCCACGCGGACGAAGUCGCGGGUAAAUUCUUUGGUUUUUCUGGUAUAAAAAGUAGCCUAUGUGUGAAUACAUGCUAUAAUAUAUCUCAAUACCAAAUUUCAACUAAUUCGGUUCAAUAGUCGAGGCGUGAAACAGUAACAAACAUUCAUAUCAUCAUAAUCAUCAGUUUUCGGGAAACCAUGGAUUUUUUAUAAAGUAAGCCUAUGUGUGUUAAUCCAGAGUAAAUCUAUUUCCAUUCUAAAUUUCAGCCAAAACGCUUCAGUACUAGCGGCGUUAAAGAGUAACAAACAUCCAAACAUCUAUACAAACUUUCGCGUUUAUAAUAUUAGUAGGAUAUAUAUUCAAUUGAUAAAUGAUUAUUGAAAUAAAUUAUGGGAGGUAUAUUACCGUCAAUAUAUUAAUUUCAAUUUUGCCCGAACUAGAUUUUUUAUACUAAUUUUCAAUGCUAAACUUUACAGUUAACUACUGAAUUAUUAAUAUGGUGACUGUUGUUUGUCCUUGAUAGUUUAAGUAUGUAGGUAAUUAAGUACCUACUAAUUAAUACAAGUAGCUCUUAUCAAAACUUGCAGUUCCGCUAGAGUUACGUUACGUUUCUUUGCAAUCUGUACAUCAAUGUACCUUUUUUUUAUUCUGUGCAGGUUAGCCCUUGAUUACAAUCUCACCUGAUGAUAAGUGAUGAAGCAAUCUAAGAUGGAAGCGGGCUAACUUGUUAGGACGGAGUAGGAUGAAAUCCAUACUCCUUUCGGUUUCUACACGACAUCGUGCCGGAAUGCUAAAUCGCUUGGCGGUACGUCUUUGUCGGUAUGGUGGUAACUAACCACGGCCAAAGCCUCCCACCAGCCAUAAAAUAGUAGCUAUAGAAAAUAUACCUAUUUAUAUAAUAGCACCAGAUGCCCAGCGGUUUUACCCGCGUAUAUGCCGUUCCCGUGGGCAUAAGAGAAAAAAAUAUAGUCCAUGACACUCACAAAGAACGUGACUUUCUACAGACAAAAGCAUUUUCAAAAUCGGUUCAGUAGAUCCUGAGAUUAAUCGUAAUCUUUAGACCCGAUACCUAGAUCUAGAUUACAAUGCACGACACCCGCCAUAAUAAACAUAGCUAGUGUACAUCCUGAGAUGUGUGUAGAAACAUUGCAAAAUUGAUUACAAUAUCAGCAUGGAGUGACUUCAGAGUCGUGACAAUGAAGUCGUGGUUAUUGCUAUGUUUGUAUCGACUAACUUACGGUAUCCGUACUUAUAAUACGAGUAUGCGAGUUGCGGAUUUUUUACUGUUGCCGUGUCUAUGACCCAUAGAUCCGUGAUUCGUUUAUACGCAUAUGUUUAAGUAAUUUGUUUACCGAUAUAACAAUAGAAUAAUGAAUGUUAGGCAUCAUUCUAACUGAUUUAAUUAAGUAUUCAAUUUUGAAUUAAUGUACUUACUGAUCGAGUAACGAGGUUCAUUGAUUAAAAGAAACCUUCAAAAAUAUUCCAUUCCAUAAUUACUAAUUGAUUGAUAAAUUUUAUUAUGUAAUGUAAGAAAAUAUUAUUAUGUAUGUUAUAGUUGAGGAUUCGAAUAUAAAGCGACCUUCAGCGAUCAGAUUUCUCUCUCUACAGAUUUAUAAAUGAAAUACCGAUUGUCAAUUUAACAAAAGUAAAAGCACUAACUAUUAAAAAUAAUCAACAUCUAUUUCUUUUUUUUACACUAACUUAACCAAAUUCUAAACUAGUAGUUUUGUAAGAAAUAAAUGGCUUUUUUAUUUUAUUUUAUAGGUCGGAUAUGAUUAUGUUGAUGUCCGGAAUCCAGCACUGAUUUUUGACUGACAGACAACCCUGUAGCACCGUGUUCGUAAUCAAAUUUCAACUUAACUUUAAAUCAAUUAGCCAGACCAGUUCUAGUCCUGUUUAUACCUGACUACCCAAGAAUUGUGAUAAGAAAAAAAUAGCCAACCUAACGUUUGCAUAUUCUAUAUAUAUAUAUAUAUAUAUAAUAGGCUUCUUACUUUCACUGAAUACUAUAUACUCGCUCGAUUGGUAUGAAAUUUGUCUAAAGUUUGUAAAAAGUUAAUAAAACAUAUUAUUGAAUCAUAUUCUGAACUGAAUUUUUUAGGCAACCUAUUGGAAAUAUAUUUAUUGACAUAUUUAAUUUGAUACGAAAAACUUUUCAACCGGUAGAUAGGUUGAUGAAGGUAGUUUUAUAUACCUCUACCUAGAUCUUAGAUCAUUAUAAAUGUUUCACUACAAAGAAAGCUGAUGAAUCUAACUAACCUUCAGUUAUCUAUGAAAAGAUUUUGUAGGUAAAUAAUUUUUUAUACACUUAAUUAUGAUUUAUGAAAAGUCUAAAUAUCGCGUAAAGAUUCGCAUAUGCGCAUCACAUUAAACGGAUGUUUAAUUCUAAGGUAGAUUCGUGCGAUCUUUAAUUCUAAGGUAGAUUCGUGCGAUCCGUACGAUGCGGUUCAGUGGACGCACUUGUACAGGACUUUCUAUACAAAGAAUACUACGAUUCAUUUGAUGCGAUGCGUCCGAUACGUGCGGAUAUGUGGACGCCUACCACAAUACGUCAUACUCGUUCAUUCAUUGUACCGUAUGAAAUACUUCAAAUUGUAUUUAGUACAACCACAAGUUCAAUUGUUUGCAUCAGAAAUCGAUUCAUUAAAAGUAAUAAUUAAUUAAUUUAAAAUGAAAUUUAAACUACAACAAUUAUUCAGUCGAUCAUAGAACUUGUUCACGUAAUGUUCACGUGAUAACAUAAUAUCCUGUUGACGUGCUGUAUAAUACGCAGCAAUAUUGUACGAGUACUCGUAUUAUGCAUAUGUAUUAAAUUAUCACACUACCUAAUAUCACAUUUCACACUCAUACUUUGCCCAGUGGAUAUGACCUCUGCCUUCGAUUAGAUGGGCGUGGGGUUGGAUUCCGGUCCGGGGCUUGCACCUGCACCUUUUCAGUUUAAUGCACUUUAAGAAAUUAAAUAUCACGUUUCUCAAACGGUGUAGGAAAAUACAUAUCUGAUAAUGUUCUUAAUUCGAUAAACAAUAAAUAGUGUGUGAAGUCUGCUAUAACGCAUUGGGCCAGUGGUGGACUGUUAGCCUAACUCUUCUCAUGCUGAGAGGAGACUCGUGCUCAACAGUUAGCCGAAUAUGAGUUAAUGAUGAUGAUGGCGAAAAUUCGCGUGUAUUUUUUGCACCUACACGCCGCAACAACUAACCCGAUUCCACUAAAGUUUGCAAGGAAGAUAGAUUACACCCAGGAUUAACACUUCAUGAGAAUUAUCAUUAACAGCCGAUUAACGUCCACUGCCUGACAUAGGCGUCUUGCUUGGACUUCCAAACAAACGGUCUUUAGCCGAGAUCAUCCAGCGGCUCCCUACAAACCGCUUGAUAUCCUAAAUCCGCUUAGUGGGGCACGACUAACAGCGCUUUCCGGUGCGGGGUCUCCAUUCCAGCACCUUGGCACCCCAAUGGCUUGCCCAUUGCCGCGUGAGCUUCGCGACUCGCUGAGCUAUAUUUGACUGACUUUGGUUCUUUAGCGGACCUCCACAUUUCUGAUUCGAUUUACACUUAUGCACUUUUUGUUUCAGAAAUAUCUAUCAUUUCCGUGGGAUUUGUGAAAAACAGAAUAUCACAGACACGAAGUCGCGGGUGUCCACUAGUAAAAUUAUAAUUUGUGAAUGUGUGUAGUAGUGUAUAAGGGAUCAUUUGAUAAGUAUAUGCUUAUUUUUUAUACAAUAUAGGCUUGCGCUUGACUACAAUAUGACUACUAAUGGAAAGCUUUAAUGCGGUCUAAGUUGGAGCGCGCUUAUCUAGAAGAUGCCUAUUCACUCUUGCUUUGAAGGUCUUUAAAUUAUAAGUGUCAGGAAACACAAAUGCCGGAAGGGCAUUCCAAAUGUUUGCUGUGCGAAUUAGAAAUGUGAAUGCAAAUCGUUUCGUACGAGUUGCCUGAAUAUCUACAACGUAUAAUGUUAUAUACUAGUCGAAUAUGUCACCGCUCGCGAUGUAUAUGGCUGUUCUAUGGUAAAAAGGAGAAAGGACUUCACAUCCACUUUAGUAAACAAUGCGGAUUGGCAGACUUCACAUACGCAGAGAAUUAAGAAAAUUCUCUGGUAUACAGGUUUCCUCCCGAUGCUUUUCCUUUAUCGUUUGAGACACGUGAUUUAAAUCCUUAAUAGAUAUAAAAAAUUAAAUAUUGAUCAAUAAAUGUUAACAUCGAUACAAACGAAUAAAUGAAAAAAAUCAGCUUAUUUCUAUUUUUCUCUCGAUAUCAAAAAAUCGUCUACGAACAUAUCGUAGAUCGAUGUCUACGGGCCAUACAUUAGAGCUCAACGGGGUCAUGGAUGUGCGACAUCCUAAAGUUUGUAGCAACGUAGCAUAUGUGUAUUAUGUAAUUUACAAAUAUAUUGCGUAUAUUUAACUGAGCAAUAUAUGCAUAUUAUAGUAAAUAUAAAAUAAAUAUAAAAACCAUUUACUUUAACUUAUUUUUAUUAAUUUAAGAACAAGUUCAUUAUAAUAAUUAUUAUUAUAAAAGUGAAAAACUUUUUUUUUAAUUGAAUUAUUUAUAAUUUCUUACAAUAACAUUUAAAACAGUAAUAUUUAACUAAAUUAACUACCUAAACCUAUUAUAAAAAUAAGUUUACUUUAAUUGUAUAUUAUUUCUCUAGGAAUUCAUCCAAUUGAAGUGAAAUCGUAGUGAGAAAUACUAGUAAUCCACAUGUAUGGAAUGGGUUUCUAAAUUAGUACAAGUUACUUAUAAGUGACGUGAUAGCGCAGUGGAUAUGACGUCUGCCUUAAAUUCGCCGUAGAUUCGAAUCCGGUCCAGGGCUAGGACCUCCAACUUUUCAGUUAUGUAAAUUGUAAGAUAUAAAAUAUCACGUGUCUUAAACGGUGAAGGAAAAACAACGUAAGGAAACCCGCAUAGUAUAACUAUGACGAAGUCACAAACAUGGUAUAGCACUCGUUUUAUUUGCUAUUUCUAACCUUUCUUAUUUCUAAGAACUUUCAGUAAUGAUUUUCAGCUAGGAGUUUGGCAAAUUAGCUGAAAUUUCUUACUUCCUCGAAUACAGGGAAAUUAAUAAGUAUAGUAUAUACAUAGGUAAAUAUAGACUCCAUAUUUGAUAAGAUUAUUGGUUGGACCUACGUGUAAAUACAGGUUAUUGGUUGAAUGAUAUUUUGACAAUAGUUGCAAUUAAUUGCGAGUGCAAAAUAUAGUUAUUCUAACAACUGGCAACUAGAUAUGAUUGUCACGAGCACAGGUGACACAGUCGAGUGCUACUAUCUAAUUGGUUUACGUUAUAAUACGCACACGCACUCGACGGCCUUCGGAAGCCUUUUAUCAAAAGGAAUGUCCUUAGCCAUAACUUAAAUUAAUUUUAUCUAUAGUAAAGAUACUGUUACACAUGCUCUAAAAUAGCAUGCUAAAAUCGUGCUAUUAAGUAUGCUUCAUACGAGCAUGCUUUUCAUCAGUUUAUAUUUGCUAGCAAUAAGCAUGCUAUUUUUAGGUAUGCUCCUGAAUAAGCAUGCUCAAAGCAAACGUUCCAAUUACACAUGCUAAUUUGUAUCUAUCGCUCUCUGUCUAUAGUAUCGUGUUAGAAAGGGAGAGAUGAAGGUGAAGAUAAGCAAACCUGUUCAGAUGCGCUAAAAGCAUAUCCCCUUCCACCCGUGCAACAAGUAGCAUGCUCAUAAAUCGCACGACUGUUGAUUCUUGAGCAAGCUCGAAAUAAGCAUGCUCAUUAUUAGCAAUGUUGUGAUACACAUGCUAAUAAGUAGCAACUGCUCAAUAGUAGCAUGCUUUUGUGCUUGAAAUGAGCAUGUGUAAAAGUAGCUUUCCACCUAAUGGAAGAUAUGGCUCAUUACAUUUUAAUUAACAAGAUUGUUGAUUAAAAGAUCGUAGUCUUAGAUCGUAUCGAUGAAGAAAUCAAUACUAAUAUUAUAAAUACGAAAAUAUAUAUGUCAAUCUAAUUGUCUCUCUGUAUGUUUUACUGACCUUUUAUUCGCUAAAUGACUAAACUGAUAAGUACUCGUAAGUAUGUAUGUAUAUAUGCUCACACAAAUUUUACUGCGGAUGAGUACGCAGGCAUUCGUGUACAUCACAAAUAGACUAUAGAAAUAAAUACCAAGUAGGUACCAAAGACCUCUAUUAAUAGUCUUACUUCUUGUACCUAAUUAUAUUACUAUCUUGUUAAACUUGACAAGCUACAGCGCCAGUGCAACCUUAUACCUAAACCAGAUUAAAUUGAGCAAUUGAGCUACAACAUAAUAUGUACAAAGUUUGGAUAACAAUACCACUAUUAAAGAAAAGAAGUGAUAAUGUUUCUACAGAUUCGUCAUGUUGUAUAUUAUAGUAUCGUGAAACCUGUCACAUCACUAUUUAGGUUCAUUUUUAUGUGCAGUGUACAUAAUUAUUUAUUUGCGAUUUCUAAAUAGGAAUUAUUUUGCCACCUAUAUAUUUAUCUCAUUGAUUGAGAUUGUGAUAUUUUUAUUUAUAUAAAAACGUUCCAAGAACUAUCAACCAUCCAAUUUCUUAUCCAUCCAGUUUGGUUAAUUUCUUUUGAAAAUUUUAGAUUUUUAGAAUUUAAUGUUGUUAAUUUUGAACAUUUUUUGAAAUCCUGCUCGAACGAUUUGAGUUAGAAGGCUGAAAGUGAAAACAUGGAAUGUUUGUCUCACUUAUAUCCAGAAAAGUAUUAGCUAAUCAAAAGGGACUUCCGUUUCCUUCCUUCCUUUUCGUUUUCCGUAAAAAGAAAAUAUGUUUAGGUCCAUAUCAUUAUAGGUGCAUAUUUAAAAAAAAGCUACCAAAACAAUUUGUAAAAUAUAUAUAUUUAAUUAUUUACAGUAAGUACUACUACUUACUUGCUUUGAAUUACAUUUUAUCUAUGAAUAGGUAUGUAUUUAAUUCUACUAUCGUAAUAAAUAUAAAUACAGCCAACAAAAAUGUAUGCAAUUUGCUGUAUCGAACAAAGUUCUAGGUUGAAGAAUUUUUAGUCGAAAGUGGGUUAGUACUAAAACAGAAAUAUUGUAACUCAGUGGAAAAAUUAUAAUGAAGGUCAUGAUAUAUUUCUGAUCCUCUGUUUAAUACUACAUUGUUUUUAUUAUCUUUAUAUGGUUCGGUUCAAUCGUGCAGCGCGAGGCGGGAAACCAGUUCUGGUUUACCAGAUCGUGAAGUAUUUUAAAAUCGAAUGCAAAUAAAUUGAGAGAUGAUGGCGAACUUGAAACCACAAAGAAAAGUUUAUCGGCAGGUAGGUCGGUGGUUGUUUACUGUGAGGUUUUGCGGUUUUUGCCAAUCCGCUUUAUAUUUCGAUGGCCUCUAAGAAAAAAAAAAUUUUUUGGUUUGUUCUUUUUAUAUUCUAUUAUAUAUCUAAAAUUGAUUUCAAUUCUGUUUCUAUACUUGAAAAUUUAUUUUGCUCAGAUGCGAUUUAUAUGACUAAUAAAAACACCUAGAAAGAAAUGGUUGCAUUUUUAGUAGACAGUUAUAGUUAAACAGAAUAAAAUAAAUAUUUAAGGAGAUCCCAUACAACAUACGUUAUUUUUUGCCGCUUUUUAACCGCCUUCAAAAAGGAGGAGGUUCUCAUUCUGCUUACUAUUUUUCACUAUAGAUAAUGGUAAGGAACCGACUAGCUUUUUCUUAAUUAAAUUAUUAUUAACAUUUUUUUAUAAGGAUAAGAAUAAGGAAAACAACGAAAAAUUGGUAAUUCAAUCGAAAAAGUCGUUAAUGUACCUAUCAUAUGUAUUAUUGGGUUUUUAAUAAAUUAUUAAUGUUAAGUACCUAUACCUAAAAUGAAAAAUUUUAUUAAUCUUAGUCCGCAUCUUAUAUUAGAUUAUAUUAGAUAUAUAUUUAUUUGUUUAUUAAUUAGUACGGACAAAUCCAUUUGCAAAUUAUUUCCAAUUUAACUAUACAUUAACAUCACAACAAAAAUUUAAACAAAAUUACAAUAUAUUUAUUAUUAUCUAAAAGAAAAAAAUAAAACAAAAAAAAGAAUAAAGAUAUUUUUUUACCCUUUUUUGCUUUUUUUGUUGAACCUGAUUAAAAAUCAAUCGAGUGAAAACUAUGCCAUACUUUUAUACAAAACUGACAUCCAGUAUUUUUUUUUACCCUGAUAAAUUGCCGUUGUUAUGUUAGGAUGAUGGUAGAUCGGAAAGUAAUAAAUUAUUCAGAUAUCUAUUACGUAGUAAGUACCAAGUGUGUAAAAUAAAAUCCAGUAUUUUUUUACCCUAAUAAAUUGCCGCUGUUAGCUAGAUCGGAAAGUAGUAAAUUAUUCAGAUACCUAUUAGGUAGGUAAGCACUAAGUGUGUAAAACAAAAACGUGUCUAUUACUUACUUACAAAGCAUUAAAAAUAAAAAAAAAAUGUUUCCACAUAGCUAAUUGAGGUCGGUACACAAAAACUCAAGGAAGUGAUCUACCUAGACCAGUUUCGCCCUCAAGUAGAUUAAAAAUUCGUCGCUCGAUCUUGUUGCUUUUAAAGAGCACAGUGACAUUUAUUACUUCAGUGUAAUUGUGAGAUGUGUGAGUAUUUUUAUUUUAUGUACAUUCCAUUAACCCGUGUUUUUGACGGAAAUACCUGAUGCCUGUGUAUAAAUAAUUGUAUUGACGUCAUGCAAGAUCGGUCCAAUUUUCUUGUUACUUUUUUGUCAUGCAUGCGGAAUACAUUAUAAAUGUCGAGUAAGUCCCUACCACAUACUAUACGCACAUCUCUUCGACUGCAACAUCGCACGACUGUAGUCAAUCGGUUACUUGUAGGUAUAGAUAGUUCACGGCAUAGAUACUUGACUGCCUCCGUGGCGCAGUGGUAUGCGCGGUGGAUUUACGAGACGGAGGUCCUGGAUUCGAUCACCAGCUGGGCCGAUUGAGGUUUUCUUAAUUGGUCCAGCUCUGGCUGGUGGGAGGCUUCGGCCCUGGCCAGUUACCACCCUACCGACAAAGACGUGCCGCCAAGCGAUUUAGCGUUACGUACGAUGUCGUGUAGAAACUGAAAGGAGUGUGGAUUUCAUCCUACUCUUAACGCUUCCAUCUCAGAUUGUAUCAUCUCUUAGCAUCAGGUGAAGGACUUCAUACCACGACUCAGCGAACCGAAUCGGAAUGUCUGUUACUGUCUGGAAUAUAAGAUCGCUAACAAAA